rnacentral:tRNA from 1 species
UGGGGAAUAGUAUAACGGUAGUACAGCGGACUCUGACUCCGUCGGUCCUGGUUCGAAUCAGGUUCCCAGCC